rnacentral:rRNA from 1 species
UACAGGGGGUGCAAACGUUGCUCGGAAUUAUUGGGCGUAAAGCGCGCGUAGGCGGCUACUUAAGUCGGAUGUGAAAGCCCCUGGCUCAACUGGGGAAGUGCACCCGAAACUGAGUGGCUUGAGUGCGAAAGAGGGUCGCGGAAUUCCCGGUGUAGAGGUGAAAUUCGUAGAUAUCGGGAGGAGCACCGGUGGCGAAGGCGGCGACCUGGGUCGACACUGACGCUGAGGCGCGAAAGCGUGGGGAGCAAACAGG